rnacentral:rRNA from 1 species
UACGUAGGGUGCGAGCGUUGUCCGGAAUUAUUGGGCGUAAAGAGCUUGUAGGCGGUUUGUCGCGUCUGCCGUGAAAAUCCGGGGCUCAACCCCGAACUUGCGGUGGGUACGGGCAGACUAGAGUGUGGUAGGGGAGACUGGAAUUCCUGGUGUAGCGGUGAAAUGCGCAGAUAUCAGGAGGAACACCGAUGGCGAAGGCAGGUCUCUGGGCCACUACUGACGCUGAGAAGCGAAAGCGUGGGGAGCGAACAGG